AUAAAUCUCUGCUACUUUGUGUUAGUGUUGUGCUUUUGUUUGGAUUGCUGUUCGUUUUGUGUAGUUUCAUUCAUUUGGUCUAAUUUUUGUAUUUGUUCCCGCUAACGAAAAUGGGGUACCUGUACGAAUAGAAUUUUCGCCUGGCUUACCAAAAAUACGAAAAUUUUCAGACCAUUGGCUGCAAAGGGAGGGCUUCCUGUUUUGUGUAGAUGAUUGGUUGAAAUGAAAUGAUACCAUGAAAGAAACGAAGGAAAUUUUUUCUCACACAUCUCUACUUUGUGUACAUAAAUAGACAUCAGUAGUGUUUUUAGGGCUCUUCCACAUAGCCAUAUAACCCAGAAUAUUAAGGCAGAUAAUACACAAUAUCUGCUUUGAACUGGGUUAUCUGAGUCCACACUGCCAUAUAAUCCAGUUCAAUGUGGAUUUUUACAUGGCUGUGUGUAAGUGGCCGGUGAUGUUGUAGUCUUCACAUGACUAGCUUAGAACAAUCUCAAACUUAACUCCCUAUUUUUAUGACAGUUUUAACAUCCUGUAAAGACUAAUUUAUUUAUUUCCCUUUCACAAGAAAAGGGAGAACAUCAAAUGAAUUUUGUACCAGUGAGGAAUUUUCUUUAUUUUAAAUAAAUGAGUUAACAUCCAACUUGUCUGUCUUCCUCCUUCCGUCCUUCCUUCCUUCCUUCCUUCCUUCCUUCCUUCCUUCCUUCCUUCCUUCCUUCCUUCCUUCCUUUUUUUGCUUUGAAGACAUCAGGUAUUUCUCAUGUUUUGGUUUGGAAUUGAUGGGAAAAGGUGUCUCUGUCCACGUAGCCAAUGAGCAAAUAACUCCCUAGUAAAAUUUAGAAUGGUAGUGGCUAUUCCUUCUUCGCAGGAAGAGUGGGCAUUACAUUGGUCUUCCCUACAGAAGUAUUGAAUCUAGUGGGUUCUUGAACAUUCAUAGGGCAUUUCCAGUUUGUGAGAUGCUUCCUUUGAAGUCCUGUCUUCUCUGUCGAACAUUGAGAUGGAAUGGGCAGUUGACACAGUCACUUCCAAGUCACUGUUUUAACCAUUUAGUGACCAAUUAGCUUCCUGGUUUCCUUUGAGUUGAGAAAGGUAAUAAAACAGACAAUGAUAUGACUGGAAUGCAUGUGUUGCAAAUUGCACAGUGAGUAUAAUGUGUGAAGCUCAUUGUCAAGUCUAAUUUGUAGCAAUGAUUAUUUCAAAGAAAAUUUACUUUUCCACCACCCUUCUGUCCUCUGUGCUUCUUCAUGGGAACUGGUGAUCUCUUUAAGUGGCAUUAAAAACAAAACAAAAAAGUAAUCACUUCUUAGCUUUUCUUUCUAGUUUUGAUUGUCCAGGCCUGUUUCUGUUAGCUUGUGAAGCAGACUGCAGUAUGUCCUUUGUCAGCCUGACAACCUUCUACAUUGUAUGAUGAUUAAAUCUUGAUAUAUACACCAAGCUUUGCCUGUAAGAAACUAAAAGUGAAAGCGAUUGCGCAUAAUGCCAAAAGGGAACUUGUUCUUAGUUUGAUUCAGGGUCAAUGAAAUAUAGCCUACUCACAGAUAACACUGACUGGCUAGGUUAGUGACUUGCGUGACUAUUCAGUUCAGUCACAUUACUGGGUGUUCCCUUUAUUUUCACAAGCAGAAGCCAUUCUAAAGAAUGCCUGAGUCUAUUUAUAUUCUUACUGAUCCCUAGUGGCUCCUUUUUAGUAUCAGGGCAAAUGCAGACUUUGCCAAUUCCACACUCUUUGACGAAAGUAGUGAUCUUAUUAAGUAAAGAUACGUGUGAAAACUGUACCACUUUCUCAGUUUGAGUAUGACCUGCUUUGUCGUUGACAACUCUCCCUCAGGUCUUAAGGAGGGAGACAAAAGCAAAUGACUUUUGGGCUACAGGUCUUCAGCAGAGAAGAGCACUUUCAGACUCAUUAUAAGACUGAUGCCAAAGGUGUUUCUGGAAUUCAUCUUGAGCUUUCAUGCCAGACUCUGUGUCAGGCAGGCUGAUCCGAAUGACUGCUUUGUACUGUUAACAGGCAUGCUUAUGUUACUGAUUCUGAGAGGAUUGAAGUAUCUCCUCUCACUUUUUUGUGGGAUUUAUUUUAUUUGAAACCCGCUGAACUGAACAAACUGGCUGUAAUCUCUUUAAAGUAGAGCAAGAAACUUUGGGAAGCUGAUCCAUCUGAGGAAAUGCUAAUUUAAAUCUCAUGACCUAGUGUGUCUGCCAUAGAAAUUCCAUUACUGUCGCACUUUCAUUCAGUAUGGCGGAUAACUUGUUUGCACUGCUUCAGGGUUUGUUACAUUAAGAUAACCAAGGCUGAGAGCAUUAUUCUUUACAACGGUAGGAGUGUUGUGUGUGAAGAGUAUCUUUGAGAUCUACAUUUUUCAGUAAGUGCAGCCACUUUAUUUUGAAGGCAGCCAUCCACUUAAACAUCAGGACAACAGUAUAGUAUAAGAAAUUCUUGAAAUCAUUAAGCUUCAGAAUGCACAUUUGAUAAAGUUGGUGGCUCUGACAGCUUGGGUGGAAUCUGUUAGCUGGGCCUUUGGGGCAUGAUCUGGAAACAACGGCUGGCAUGGUGAAAUAAAUUCUCUGUCAUAACAAAUAAGAGGAAGAAGGGCAUUGGGACACAUCAUCUGAAGUAAGGCAAACUCCAGAUAAAAAAGUAUUUCAGAACACAGGGAUUGGGAUCCAUAUGGUUUUCUCUAGAGAUCUUUCUGUGUGGCUCAAAUCAAUAAUAGGAAAUCUCAAAUGUUUUGAUUUUGCAUUAAAUCUGUUUUAUCCUCAGUAAUUUUCUGGCACAUGCUUUAAUGCAAUUGUUGAAAAUAAAAUAUGACUAGCCAGGGCAAUAUUAGAGCUAUUUAAGUAGUCUUUAACAAGACCUUCAGUGUAAGCAUGCUUUAGAUGGAUUGAGUGAAAAUAAAGUUAAUAACCGCAAACUGCAGUGUUGUUUGGGUUUAAACUUCUAAUGAGCCUUAAGCAUAAAUGGUGAGCAUUCUUCAUGCCAAGUGUAGGUUGUUGAUAAACUUAGGAUGUUUCUGUAUUUCUUUAGUGCAGAUCACUGUGGUGAGUACUCUGUGAAUCAUUUGCUACUAAGGGUAAUGGAAGAAUUCAUCACCAAGCAAAGUCCUGUUUCAUGAAUGUUUCAGCAUUUUUUCUUCUCUUAAAAAAGAAAGAUCAUUACACAUAAAAUCUACGGUGGUGUGUGGAAAAAUAUGCAACCAAUAACUAGUGCAAACUUAAAUCCAGGUAGGAGAGCUGAAUUUGAUUGCUAGCAGAGUCAGUGCCCUGCAUUGCUCCGUGACCACCACCCACAGAACUGUUAACUAGAACCAGAUAAACCACUGCUGCAUUUUAUACAUUUUAAAUUUUAAUUUUUAUCAUUUGAUGUUGUCCGUUGUUUUGUAGUCAGUCAAUUUUGUGUAUUGUUUUUAUGCUACAUAAUUCUACUAGCUUGGGGACCCGGCGAUGCCCGGGUCAUUUGAGAAUGGUAUUAUUUGUGUUUAAUGUUAUGUAUUCUGUUUGGAGUGGGUGAACUACAAUUCCCAGAAUCGUGGCUGAAUCCUCCCCAAACCCUGCCAGUAUUAUAAGUUGGGCAUUUUGGGCAUGUGUACCAGGUGUGCUGCAGUACUCUCUAGAUGGGGGUCAACUACUACAACUUCCAGAUUCCCGGGGCAAUUGGCCCGAAAUAUCUAUCAGUAUCCACAGCAGGCAAUAUUCAGUCUGUGUGGCAAGAUUCGUUAUUGGCUGGGUUCAGUGGUCUUUGGAUGGAGGUGAACUACAGCUCCCAAAAUCAAGGCCCCUUCCCACAAAUACCUGCAGUAUGUUCAGUGGGUCAUGAGGCUUCUCUGUGUGAAGUGUGGUCCUGGUCCAUUGUCGGUGGGGGGUCAGUGUUUAUCUGGCUGUAGGUGAACUAUAACUCCCUUUUUCCCAAACUUGUCCAAUAUGUUGUAUUGGUUAUGGGGGCUCUGUGUGCCAAGUGUGAUACUCAUUCAUUGCAGGUGAACUAUAAAUCCCAGUACCUACUACUCCCAAAUCUCCAGGCCAAUUCCCUUCCAAACCCACCAGUAGUCAAAUCUGGGCAUAUCGGGUCUGCAUGGCAAGUUUGGCCGAGAACCAUCAUUGUUUGGGUUCAUAAUGUUCUGGUUCAACUCCUCUACAUUCCCCAGUAGGAGUCACAGUGCUCUGACUUGAUGCAGGGUGAACUACAACUUCCACCAGGUGGAGUCAAUCCCUAAACUCCUCCAGUAAGUUUAGUUGCAGCUCAGUUCUGCUGUGUUUGUUAUGCAGAGAGAUUGGAAAGGGAAGGGCAGUGGGCGGGGCCAUGCAAAUUCCACAGCAAUGGAGAACCCUGGGAUGUCUGCCUGUGGUGGAAGAAAAAGCAAAAUCUAGGAUGAAAUGGUCCCCAAAUGAAAGCAUUCCUUGGGUGGUGGGCCGUAGUGUUUGGGAAGGACAUUGGCAGGGGCUGGGCUGCAUGUUCAUGGCGCUCGCUGUAACCGCAAUGUCAGUGGAAAAGAGUGACUUGCUAGAUUCUUAACCCUGGGAACUGUAGCCUAUUUGUGGAGGCUGGAGGCUGUCUGUGUGAGCAGACAUCCAUGCGACAUACACACAUACGGGUUUUCGCUUUUAUUAUGGAUUUAGAUGUGUGGCACCUUGGAGUGCUUUUGUGAGCUGGUGGCUGGGUAUAAAUAAAGAUGAUGAUGAUGAUUAUUAUUAUUAUGAAUUCAGUUUGCUUAAAUUUGCAAAAAUCAAAUAAAGUGUAAAGCAGCUAUCCUUAGUGCAGAACCUUAGUGUAAUGAACUGAAGGACAUCCAGCUAGCAUUUUAAAAAAUAGCCAUGGAACCAGAUCAGCCAUUAUCAAAACGUUUUUACCGAAUUGUGUUGUAUGGGACAAAGAAAAUAGUAUUUUUUCUAACUGAAACUCUUAACUAAUCACAUAAAAGCUGACACAGUUUACUUAAGAAAUGAUAAAGUAGAGAAACACAUCAUAAUAGUUGAAUAAUCAUAAAUAUGACAAAGGAAGUCAUCACUGAUAUAUUUUAACUUGUAAUAGUGCAGAUUGAGUGUCUCUUAUCCAAAAUGCUUGGGACCAAAUGUGUUUUGGAUUUCUUUUUUUUAGAUUUUAGAAAACUUGUACAGUUUUUGCAUAUAUACCUAUAAUGAAAUGUCUUGGAGGUUUUACCCAAGUCUCAACAUGAAAUUUAUUUAUGUGUCAUACAUAUCUUAAACACAUAGCCUGAUGGUAAUUUUAUAACAUUUUAAAUGUGUUAGUUCAUGCAACAAAGUUUGUGUUCAUUAAACAAUCAGAAAGCAAAUGUGUCACUAUCUCAGCCAAUUAUGUGAACAGUUUCAAAUUUUGUAAUACUUCAAAUUUCAGAAUUCUGGAUAAGAGAUACCAACUUGUAUUAAAUAAAAUGAAUAUUUUUUGAAUUUUAAUUAUGACUAAGCUGACAUCCAGGUCACUAUUUCUUAUCUGGUACCCUCCCUCUUCUUCCCAAACCCAUCUUAAGGGAAGGAAGGUUAUUCUGAAUAGGGACCAGCACUUGUGAGUUUGUGAUUGUGCUUAUCUGGGAUCCAAUAAAUCACCUUAGGGAGUCUUAGAGAGUGGAAAUAUAAAAUGCCAACAGUUUUGUUUUCAUGACUUGUAUUUGAAAUGCAAGUAAUAGUACCUUGACAUUCUUUGCAUAUAAUGGUUGCAUGUUUCCAAAAAUUUUCCUAAGCUACCAAGCUCCUUUCUCCUAUGCAACUCUCCAGAUGACCAGAACUCAAUUCCCUAUUAUCCUUAUUUCCCCCAACUGGUUUGACCCAUAACUGAAACGACUCAAUAUAUUUUCAUACUUUCCCUAACUGACAGAAACCUUUCUUUCCCCAGAUCACUAUAUGUCCUUCAUACUGUCAGCUGGAUCAUAAUCUUAGCUAUUACCACUCACAUCUGAGCUGGCUGUCUCAUGUGUUCUACGUGCCAAAAACGUGUUCCUGCUUCUCUCCCUUCUAUUAACUACCCGAUUGUCUCCGUUGGACUGUGUCACUGGCACUGAGGUUAGGGAUAGCUUGGUUUGGUUUGAGGACACAGUUUGCACAGUCCUGACACACGUAAAAAAAAAAAUGCUUAAAUCACUAGACAAUAUUCUCAAAGGAUAGAUGUUUCAGGUUUGAACCUAUACACACACUCAGAAACUCACACAGCCAUAAACUGACUGUACUGCGUUUUUCCUUAUUGUGCAGAUACACGUACAUGGCAAGCAAAGCCAUGUGAGCUACAGUAAAUAGCACUGACAUAGCAUUUUCAUCUGAUCUUAGGAAUACCAGUGAAUGCAUUAACAGUAUCAGUUGUGUCUUUUUUCUGUUGUCACUUGCCAUUUGAAGCAAGUAGGUUCUUAUUAAAUGUAAAUAAAAUUGUGCCUAAGACCAAUACUAUACAAAGGCUAUGGUGAUCCAUUUUGAGUUAAAUCCAAAAUGUCUAUGCGGAGUGUUACUUUUUGUGCCUAUGAUUCUAUUUCAUUUCUGAGCAGUAAGAAGGUAAUUAUGCCAUAUCAAAUACUAUUUCUUUUCCCCAGGUAAUAGCACUGUUCUUGUUUUCUUAUGAAGGUAGUUUUUUUUCCUGGCAGAUCAUUUUCCUGGGUAUUAAUGCAUUUAUGUCUGUCUUAAGGACGACAACAGCGAUAGACGAUAGACUAUUCCCAUUGUCAAAAAAGGAAGAUCUGAAAAUUGUGUGUGUGAAAAACAUUGCUUCCCAAAUGUUAGAUAGAAAUGUUGCUGAAUUGGUUCCUGCACAAGAAUUUUGAGAGAAUGAUUGGAUAACCACUUUUUUUUUACUAUGACUGAGAAUAUCAUGAAUCUUUUUCCAGUAGAAAGAUAACUUUUUGAUUACAAGUUUUCCCAUCUUAAAAAGAACAUAAUUCUAUGCCUAAGACUUCAUGUUAAUUUUGUGAUGGGGUGACAGAUUGAAAACUUGCCUCUGGCAAUGACUUGGUUUAGUUCUUUUUAGCUAAAUAUUACUCUUUCCUUUCAGAAUCAUUUGAAAGUAGUAGAGUGUGUCUGCUUCUGAAGUGAUCAAUUGUCCAUCUGUGAUUGACAUUUGUGUCCUGAAUCUAUCAUUAGUUUUGCAUAGCAGCUUUCUAAAUGCAUUUUUCUAAACCACACGCUUCAGAAUGGCAGUGUAGCACUAACCACAGUCUUCCUACAUCUCAGCAUAGUACCUAGCUUGUGGGAUGAUAGCAGAACAUAGAGCAUACAUUUUAUAUCUCCAUAGCAAUCAAGGUGUGGGAUCUAUUUAGGCUAGAACCAGGCGUGCAGUGCUUCUAAUUUCCCACUUAGUACUGUGCAGUGUUUCUGUGAUUAAUCAUUAUUCAGCACUGCAAUAAAAUAAAUGUGUAGAAACAUACAGGAAAACCACAGAUCAUGAGAAACUAUGCAUGAUAUGCGUGAGUCAAACUGCAGUGUGUUAAUGAAAAGGCAUUUAAUUCUGGCUUGUUCUAGACUGGGGUUUAUGGCAGAGAUUAGUACUGGCUGCAGAGAUUAUAGCCAACGUAGCUGGCAAAUAUUCCCAGAUAGCUCUCAGUUGGGGGCAACUUUUGUACAAUCUGUCCCAGAUGCUACAUUUGUUACUUGGGACAUUAUUUCCUUUUUAUAACAAUGCCUGGUGCAGAUUCUCCUGACUUGGAAAAUUUAAAAUAAAUGUAAACCAAUACAAAUAUUCAAUCUGAAUGGCAGUUAAAUUAUUUGAAGAUAAAAGUCGCAGACUGUAAGAUGUAAGCUAUUUUAAAGGCCUGAUGUCACUGCAGUAAACCUCCCUGGAAAGUAAUCCCAUCUGUCCUUCUGCUUCCUGUCUUAAUGGUUCUUUAGAUUCUCUCAGCAAAAAGUCUUCUACACCUUUAGUUGGUAGGGAAGGGAUAAACUCAUGUGGCUUUUCAAAUGUUGUUGCACAAUGUGUCCCAGCAGCUAUAUCCAGCAUAGUCAAUAGUGGGAAUAACAUAAGGAGAGCCACAUGAUUUCUACCUCUGUACUAAGGAAACAUAGGAAAUGCAGGCAACAGUCCUGCAGACCCAGGCAUGCACUAUAGGUUCCCUAGAAGCACUAUAGGGAACCUUCUAUAGGUUCCCUAGAAGCCUUGGUGACAGUGCUGGACAAUGAGACCCUUUAUUUACUGGCUGCCAUUUAUUUUCCGAGCCCAAUUCAAGGUGCAGGUUAUCACCUACAAAUCCCUUAACGGUUUGGGACCCACCUACCUUCGAGACCGCAUUUCCCCCUAUGAACCCACACGACCUCUUCGCUCGUUGGAGGAGGCCCUCCUCUCGCUUCCACCAACUUCGCAGUUGCGGUUGGUGGGGACGAGGGAGAGGGCCUUCCCCGCCGUGGCCCCCCGGCUGUGGAACUCGCUCCCCAGGGAGAUUAGGCAGGCCCCUACCCUACUUUCUUUCAGGAAGAGCCUGAAAACUUGGCUAUUCCAGAAGGCCUUCGUUGACUGAUCCUUGUGGGAUCAUGUUAUUUACCUAUUAAGCAGUAGACCCUCUGGAUUGUUUUUUAGGAUUCAUUCAGCACUUUAAGUAUUACACCUGCUGUAUAAUUGUCCCUCCCUGAUAACUUGAUAUUGCUUUGCACCUUGGCCUGGAUCUUUUGACCCAAAUCGGGAUUUUAAUAUUAUUGUGUAUAUUGACUUUUAUGACUGUUUUUAAUCAUGUUGAAGUUUUACUGCUCAGUUUAAUGUUUUAUCUGAUUUGUGCUGUCGUGUCUGGGCAUGGCCCCAUGUAAGCCGCCCCGAGUCCCUCCGGGGAGAUGGGGCGGGAUAUAAGAAUAAAAUUAUUAUUAUUAUUAUUAUUAUUAUUAUUAUUAUUAUUAUUAUUAUUAUUACUUUACUUUGUAUGUGCUCCCCUUCAUUUCACCAACAUACAUGAUUUCAUGGAUAGGAAAUUCAUUUUGUCCAGCUAGGAAAGGCCAGGUGGUGACUCGUCGAGCAGUGACUGAAGUCAGGUGUAAGUGUGAUCAGUUUGGCCAGUUUCCUCAACCAAGCAUUACAAGUACAGGUUACAUCUAUUUAUGUGUGUACAGGGAAGCCUAUGAUUCAAACAGUCAGUGAAAGAGGAAAAUAUGCCAUCUAAAGGAGAGUUGGUCAAUAGCUCAAAAUGAGUCAAUACAAGGGCUGUAAUAAUUCUGGUGUUUACUUGAAACGAAUAAACUGAAAUCAAUAUAAGAAUAUUGUAAAUGCAAUGGUAAAGUACUGAUACAUUAUAUUGCAGUAUUAUAAUGCUUAUUUCAAUCCUGAAAAAUAAAUACAGGCAUGACAGUUAUUUUAGAAUAAUGCAAGAGCUGAUCUGUUUUUAAUUUCAAACCUGAUUAUAUAUUCACCUUUUGCCUUCUGUAUUUAUCUUCUAUCUUGAUUCUGAGUUAGGAGUUUAUUGGUUUUAUCUACUGAUUAAAAAGAACUAGCUGCAGGUGUUCCUAGGUCUUCAUCCCAACAUCCUGCAAGCCAUAAAUGAAGCACAAAAAAAGUGAAAUAAGAAACCACUUUCAGCAUGAAAGCUUUGUUUAAAUAUUUCAAUUUUUAAUAUUAAUAUUUACAUUUUUAAUUCCUCUGUUUGGGAAGAAUGACAGUGGUUCGCUGCAGUAUGCUGAACAAAGGCUGCACAGAGAGAUCCCAGCUCUCAUCUCUCCUGGUGAGAGUGCAGGUUAUCCUAUAGGGCUGGAGGGAGACAUAGUGGAUGAAGAAGUGUAUGGGCAGGAUGGAAAAUCUUAAUGGGCCUGUUCAAGUGCUGGUUGUUGUCAAGACCUGAAACGCCUCAGUUGGUUUUUUUUUUUUAUUGAACACAAUAUAUUUGCAGUAGGGAUGCCAUGAACCAUUUUGUUCUGGGCCUGUUGUUGUUGUUGUUGUUGUUGUUGUUGUUGUUGUUGUUGUUUAUACCCCGCUUUAUCUCCCCAAAGGGGAUUUUUUCCCUCUGUUUAAUCUUUGUGGCCAAUUCUUAAGCAGCCAGGAUGACACUAUCAACAUACAAAGAAGAUGUACGUAAUUUUUCUGUUGGCAAGAUACAGAAAAGUCAGUGCUAUAAACCAUCUUGUAUUUGCUUUAAACAUUUUUAGCUGAUGUCGUUUUCUCACAAAGCUAUUAUAUGUACUUUUUCUUGGUCUCUUUUAGCAAGGGUAAGAGGAGCUGUUAUAUCCUUGUAGAUGAAUAAUGCAGUUUAAAGAGGAGAAAAUAAAUAUAUCCACAAAGACAAAAUAGGCAUAUUAUGCUUUUCCAUAUUUUUGUCUCUUUUUGAAAAAUACUGUAUACUGAGGAACCUUUUCUCAGCAUUGUCUGCAUGGUGGGUGGAGUGAGAUUGGUGCCAGUUUGAUUUAACUUCCUGCUCGUUUCCAAUAAAAAAUCCAGACUGUCAAGUGCUGGAUUUGGCUGUUUAGGGUAAGUGAGUCUUUAAAAAGAGCGUGUUGCUUCUACACAGAAAGCUAAAGUUGUGUCAUUUAGUAUGCAUGGGUCCCUGCUUCCCUUUUCAACUACAACAUUCAGAACAUCUGGUCUUGUUUUAUUAGCCUUACUUUCAGAGAAGGAAGGAGAAGUUAAUUCCAAUUUAACUAACUAUAUUCCCUAACAUCUGUAAUAACAGGUUUUCUUAGCCAGCUAUUCUUGGAAUUGAUCAUACUCCAUUGGAUUGUGGGCAUCCCCCCCUCCUUCGGCCAAAUGUUUACAAUUAUAUAUAAUUUUCAUUAUGCAAAUAUACACCUGAACCUGAAAUUUUCUCACAAGACAGAAGUUUUUUCCACCACCAUGUGCUUACCUGAACAAAAAUGCAGCCAAGAAUGCUGUCUUGGAAAUGUCAUCUAUUCAACAAAUCUGAUAUUUUGGAACUCUUGAUCUUUUAUUGAUGUAGUAUCUUGAAAGGUGAUGAUAAUGAUAACACUUUAGAUCCCAUAUUGGGAGAAAGGUAGCAUGUAAAUAAAAUUAAAUAACUGCAUUUUGACUAUAGUAGACUUCUGUCCAGUCUAUUUCCCAUUUCUCACCAUCUGCUCUUAAGAUUUCUUUGAAAAAGCCUACACAUGUUGAAUCCAUCUUCAAAGCCUUAAAGAAUAGAAGCUAGCUAUUAAAUAUCUUCUUAAUCAAAGCAGAGAUCCUUAUAAUGCCAUAUUCUGAGUCUCUUAUUAGUUUUGAUGUAUGCAUUAUUGAUUUUUAACACAUAUAUUUCACCUUUUCUUCGGAACUGGGAUAUAACCAGAUAAUAACCUUAACUAAAUUAGUGCAACCAUUUCGACCUGUUGUAGACUAUCUUUUGUGUUUUAUCAAUAAAUUGCCAUGGAAAGAGCAUAAAAAGAGCUAUAAAUCUGAGCCAACUAUUUUCAGUACCCGAAAAUGCUUCUUGUUUAGCAACAGAAUCUACAAGCAAAAUUGAAUGUCACACAAGCAGACUUAUGCUGAGAUGGACUGGCUCCCCUUCUAAUCAUCCUCUGAUCCUUUAGAACAGACUUUGGAGACAGGCAGAGGUUGCUGUAGGUUGAGAGUUUGAAUUGGUUUCACCAAUAAUAUCCAUUCCAGUAUCAGAUGUCACUAGCAUUAACCCAUUAAAUGUAUAUGUAAGAUUUUCCAGCAACUGAUGGGAAAUCUUCUACAAUCUUCACAUUUACUUUUAAAUAGUAAGGAUGAAGUUUGCAACAUCAGCCAGUAAGGUAAGCAGUUCAUCCCAACUAAGUAUUGUUUCUUUCUUUCUCCCUCUAGAACAGUGGUUCUCAACCUGUGGGUCCCCGGGUUUUUUGGCCUACAACUCCCAGAAAUCCCAGCCAGUUUACCAGCUGUUAGGAUUUCUGGGAGUUGAAGGCCAAAACAGCUAGGGACCCACAGGUUUAGAACCACUGUUCUCGAACUAGCAUAGCUCCCCCUCUAGUUUUCUUUCUCUUUUCCACCUGCUUAUCACCAAAUGGCAAUCUGAAAGGUCCCAACAAAGCUCAUUUGGACCACUCCUCAGGUGAGAAUCAUAGAGUUGGAAGAGGCCUCAUGGGCCAUCCAGUCCAACCCCCUGCCAAGAAGCAGGAAAAUCACAUACAAAGCACCCCUGACAGAUGGCUAUCCAGCCUCUGCUUAAAACCUCCAUGUUGCUGUUUCUAGUUUAGUUUCUGAAUGUAAGGAAAGGGAGCUAUCAUAGGAUGAUGCCUGAACUCUGUGCUUCACUUGUUUUAGACCAAGGAACUUGUGCAAGGCUGUAAAGAUUCAAACUCCACAUUCAUCAGCAGUCUCCCAGUUUGGGACCCAGACUUGGUCUCCAACAAGAGUAUUUCCUUUCCUUAACCAGGGCCCCUUUUUCUAAUGUAUGUUUUCCUUUAGGAAUCUAGUAAAAAAGAAUAGUCUUAAACCUCUUACAGUCAACAUUUUACUUAAAUCCAAUGUCCUAGCCCAUGCCUCUUUUGGACAAUAUUCCCAUCUCAAUCCUGAUAUAUUCAUGCUGUACACAAAAAGAUAGCAAGAACACGCCAAAGGUUUCUAAGGAGAGAAGAAGGGUGAUGUCAACUCUUAAGAGAUCCUGUGAGACUUUCUGACUGGCAAUUAGAGGCGCUUUUGCCAUUUCUAUAUUUUUCAAAUCUGCCCUUUUAUGGACCAGGGGAUUUAUUGGUAAGUUUUCCCAGGGCAAUCUUAAAUUAAUGUAAUCACCAGAGAAUUAAUGAAGUCUUGAAGGUGGCUGCUUUCUCUGUUGAUUCCAACUUUAGUGUUACUCAGUUUAGUAUAAGUUUUCAGGUGGGAGCUAUCAAUGUACAUUACCAAGAUUGGCUUAAAAAUAAAUAUGAUGAUGUCUGCACGAAGUAAAACCUCACUUUCUUUCCCUUUGGAGGGCAGUAAGUAAUUUGGGGAGACACCUGAUAUAUCAAGGGCAAGAAAAUAGCUCAUUUCAGAAAAAGGUUGACAAGAGAACUUUCCAUUCAAGACAGUAUUCCUUUGGCUCCUACAUAAGCUAUUGUGAAUCCUUUCAUUCCAGAGACAAUGAUCUAAGCAUAGAUUCCAAUACAUGCAGCAGCCUAUCCAGUAGGGGCAACACAGACCUUAUAGCAACAGCAAUUCCAUCACCUCAGGCAACAAACAUACACACAAGUCUCUUGUGUUCUAAGUUUCCAUACAGAUUUGUGAGUGGAAGAUUCCAGUUGAUCACCUAUAUCUGAUCAGUGUGUUCUUAAGAGCAUUAGCCGGAGAGUAUCGUCUUCCUCAUGAUUUCGUCAUCCCCUCUCUGAGGUCAAAGAAUGAAGAAACACAUUUCCUGGUUUAGGAGGUUAUCUCAUAUUCAGCACCUGAGUCAACAUUAUUUCAUCUUAGCCAAUUAGAAUAGAAGCUCAUCGUAUCACACUGUUAUAUAGCAACUGCACUGUUAGUCCCAUCUCUACUUGGAGCUUAUCACACAACAUCUGGUGCUGUGUUGUGUCGCUGUUGGGUUGUUUGGAAUAAUUUUUUGACCUCGUAUCUCAGUAUAAUUAGUAACUACUUGAACAUUUGAGAUGUGUGUUCAGCCUUAUUACCUCAGAAACCUGAAGACAGACUACUAAUUUGUAAAGAAAAUGACUGAAUCAGAAGACAAGUUUCACUUCAUGAAGAUUAAACUGAAAACAUGUUUCAGCAAUGUGGACUUGCCUAAAAACAGUUACCAAUUCAGGAAAAAUAGUGGUAGCAUAGCUCUUUUCUCUCUUGGCGUGAGUUUUGUGAAUGUUCUGGUUAUCAGCCUGGAAACCCAUGCUAUCUGUGGAGGCCUGGGUGACAUAUUGAGUUGACUCCACAAGCACUGCUAUGCAACAGGAAAUAUGCCCUUGCUUAGUUCCCCUGACCAGACAGCUGUUAUGUCUCUGAAUCAGUGAAGUGUGUUAGAUAAAAAGCAUACUGUGCUCUACCCCCAGAGAUCCACCAAAUGAAAUAACACAUUUAGCCCAAAAGCCUAGAAAAUGUGUUUGCAGGUGAUUGCUACUGAUACUGGGAUUCAUUUAAGGUGCAUGCUGCUGCUUUUGUGGUAGACAGUGGGUUAAAUUAAUAGCCUGUACCUGAUAAGGGAUCUUUGCAAGAAAAUAGGUUAGAUCUUCACCCUUGAAUGAGUAAGAAAAAAAGAUUACUGCUUCUUUCUCAAGCAGGGAAAGAUACAGAGUUUUUGCAGUUUAAUAUAGUUAUGCUACAACAUAGAUACAAGACUGGACAACCCAAGUUAAAUUCUUCUCCCCAAAGACAGUGAGGGAAGUAGACAUCUUUGUGUUGACAUUUUCAGAGAAGAAUGAUCUUCCAUGCUUAUUUCUUCUUCAGACUGUCACUUCAGUAUCAAUCCUGGUCUCCUGAUCCUGUCAACCCAACCAAGCCUGCAACUUUCUAGUCCUAAUGAGAACAUUCAGGCUCCUUGGGUUGGUUCUAGGUGGCUUGGUAGGUCUUGACGGGAUAAUCCAGAGCUUUUGUGUGUUAACAUUUCAAAGCACGUGAGUAGUAAAAGCUGGUUUAUAGUGUUUUUUGUUCCUUAAAAUUGAUAAUGCAAGGAAAUUCUCUAAAAUGACAGAGCUGGCAAAUAAUAUUUCACUCAGUUCAGUAUAUUCCACAUCAUUUCAUAAUGGUAUGCUCUGAAAGCUUUUGUGGUCUGGAGGAUAGGGAAUAGGAUUUAUAACUAGAAAAAAUAGUUUUUCAGAGUCCUAUAAAUGCAACUUUUUUGUAUCUUUAUGGAUAAAUAAUUGGGUGUCAAUUUGUUUCUUCCUUUUAUAAUUUCCAGGAAUGUUUGAUAAUAGAAUUAGAACAUCUUUGGGUAUAGGGAAACCAUUUUAAUGGAGUAUGUUACAAUUAUGUUUUAGAAGCAUAAUAUGCUUGAAUGAACAUGCACUGGAAUAUAGCAUUGGAAUAAUUGGAGAAAUAGCUACAAAUCAAAACUAUUAUUUCCAGUAAUGUGCAUUUUUAAAAGAAUAGGAAGAUGGUCAAGGGAUGUAUUACAUUGUAAUUGGAGAAGAGGAUGAAGCAAUGGACAAAGAAAAGCUCUUGGAAAGAUAAUGGCAGCAACAACCGGAUUAUUUGCAAUGAAAUAAAUGAAUGGGAGGACUAAA